AUUGAACGCUGGCGGCAUGCCUUACACAUGCAAGUCGAACGGCAGCACGGGAGCUUGCUCCUGGUGGCGAGUGGCGAACGGGUGAGUAAUACAUCGGAACGUACCCUGAAGUGGGGGAGUAACGUAGCGAAAGUUACGCUAAUACCGCAUAUUCUGUGAGCAGGAAAGAGGGGGAGUCGCAAGACCUCUUGCUUUAGGAGCGGCCGAUGUCGGAUUAGCUAGUUGGUGAGGUAAAGGCUCACCAAGGCGACGAUCCGUAGCGGGUCUGAGAGGAUGAUCCGCCACACUGGGACUGAGACACGGCCCAGACUCCUACGGGAGGCAGCAGUGGGGAAUUUUGGACAAUGGGCGCAAGCCUGAUCCAGCCAUGCCGCGUGAGUGAAGAAGGCCUUCGGUU
rnacentral:rRNA from 1 species